UCGUCUCAUAAAUUAUGCAAUUUUUCAAUGAAGUCUCAAUUUUCGUCCUUAAUAUUUUUAUCCUUGGGUACAAAAGAAAUGGAAAUUCCUUUUUUCAUAUUACUGAUAGUAACAAGGCGAAAGUGAGCUUCAGAAAUUUUUUGUCGAAGAUUACACCCUAGUUAUUGCAUCCAAUUAGCUAACGCUGACAGGUGAUGAAUUUAGGGAUAUUAUGAAAGCUGAAGUGUCGAAUCUAGCAUAUCAAACCGAGAUUCACCUGAAAAGCAAACAACGUUUUCACAACCCUGAUAAGAGUCGGCUCGCUUAUAAAAGGAUUCAACAUAUAAAAGAAAAGCCUUCCAGUCUACAGACAGUUUUCAACAUAAAAAGAAACCAGUUGUAUUUCUGUACAGUAUUAAAGUCGAAAAGUUAUAAGUUUAUGGACUUUAUGGCAUAAGAGAUGAACAAGGUUGCAUAUGAGCUUUACAAGUGGACGGUUCAAAUAUCAGUGCUGAAUGAAAAUGGACGAUGAAAGGACAAUCGAUGUGUUCGUGAUGCAAUGAAUCCUGCUUCUAUAAAUAGGCUAAAGAGCAAAAAGUUUCUUAAGUCCCAUCACAUUCGACAAAAAGUAAGAUCGCAUGAUUUUGGAAUCUUGGUAGAUCACACCUAAUUUUAAGAGCAAGCUAAAUUAAGUCAUCACAUUGUCUUAGUAUACGAUUGAUUUUUUUAAUAAUUAUGCUUAGUAAUUAAGAGUAAUCGGAUUGUCUUUCUAAAAAAAUUCUGGAGUUCAGAACCAAUCGAAUAACGCGCGAAUAAUAUAUAUAAUUGUAUAAUCUCCAAAUUAUCAGCUGAAAAUAUGUUCAUUUAUAGGAAAUGAUUCUUUUACAAUUGAAAGAAAUUUCAGUAUUUCUCUGCCCGUUUAAACGAAUUAGAAUAUUUAAUAGCAAUGUAAUUUAAUUUAACCGCAGUUUAAUUAUCGAACGAUUUUAUUCUAAAUUUUCACGUAUGUCCCUCUUCAAUUUAGACAUCACCCAUCUCUUCUAUUCCUAUUUUCAAACAUGUUAUUUCUGAACUUGCAGAAAGUGAGAAUUUAUUGAAGAAUCUUCAGCUGUUCCUAUUCCAUUAAAAAAAAAUAUUAAAUUUUUUCCAAAUUGGUACACCUAAUGUUCUUUUCAUGGCUUAAAGAUUCUUGGGUUAGGGAUAAGUGAGAUCCAUAAAGGGAGAUGGUUAAUAGAUACGGUGGAAAGCCUAAAGAACAAAUCCUAACAAAUUUAAUUUUGACCUGGAAUAAUGAAAUCAAGACUGUAAAAGGGCCACAAGUGCUUCCAAGCAUUUUGAAAAGAUAAUUUAGUCGGUUUACUUCAGAAACAAACAAAAAAAAAUCGCAUUUCUAGAUUUUAAGAACAGUUUUUAAAAAAAUUAACACAUUUUGUAUUGUAAUUUUGAA